UUCAGCCAAAGGCAAACUAAUCGAAAGGUUAGGACGCAAAACCUCAGAUCUAACGCUUAAUAGCUAUGAUGGCUGGGUUUCCUGA
rnacentral:ncRNA from 1 species